rnacentral:tRNA from 1 species
AAAGUUUAGGUGUUAAGCAUAUUAUAUUUUCGUUAUAAAGGUUAUACUUGG